CAGAUCAAGAAAAGUCCCAGAGCAAAGGUAUCUUGUUCCAGGAGCCGGCUAGCACUGGGCACGCCAGGAAUCUGGAUCCGGGCCUGGCUGAGCCCAAAGCCACGAUCCUCUGACUCUUGCUCCUCACUGUCUCUGGAGGGCAGGAGGCCGUGUGUGAGGGGCUCCUUCCUACACAGCGUCCUGCUGCCCGUCCUCGUUCCACAAGGUGCAAAAUCUGAAACCCAUUCCUUGUGUCACUACAACAACUGGGAACGGAAUUUGUUACUCCACCGCAGCUCAGGAAGGCAGACGGAGGACCACCCCGCAGCUGUUCGCUGCCCUCCCGCCCCUGGGAACCGGCUCCCACCCCAGCCCCGGCCCAUCCGGACAGGGUCACCCGGCCGCUGUCCCUUCUCUUCCAAGGC
rnacentral:lncRNA from 12 species